AGAGGUAAAAAAUUGAUUUGACU
rnacentral:miRNA from 1 species